GAUGAAGAACGUAGCGAAAUGCGAUAAGUAAUGCGAAUUGCAGAUCUCCGUGAGUCAUUGAAUCUUUGAACGCACAUUGCGCCCUCGGGUAUUCCCGAGGGCAUGCCUGUCCGAGCGUCAUUAUCCAACCAUCAAGCUCGGCUUGCGGUUGAGCCCCGCACCGUCCCCGGGACGGUGGGCUCGAAACAUGUUGGGCGCCGUGAGGUUCUCGGUGCAGCGAGCUCUCGAGCACGUGCCGGGCAACCUCUCUGGGCGUCGGCCAACCCCCCAAUUUCUCAGGUUGACCUCGGAUCAGGUAGGAAUACCCGCUGAACUUAAGCAUAUCAUAAGCGGAGGA
rnacentral:misc_RNA from 1 species